rnacentral:rRNA from 1 species
GGCGGCGUGCUUAACACAUGCAAGUCGAACGAUGAAGCCCUUCGGGGUGGAUUAGUGGCGAACGGGUGAGUAACACGUGGGCAAUCUGCCCUUCACUCUGGGACAAGCCCUGGAAACGGGGUCUAAUACCGGAUACGACGCGCUCGGGCAUCCGAUGUGCGUGGAAAGCUCCGGCGGUGAAGGAUGAGCCCGCGGCCUAUCAGCUUGUUGGUGAGGUAACGGCUCACCAAGGCGACGACGGGUAGCCGGCCUGAGAGGGCGACCGGCCACACUGGGACUGAGACACGGCCCAGACUCCUACGGGAGGCAGCAGUGGGGAAUAUUGCACAAUGGGCGAAAGCCUGAUGCAGCGACGCCGCGUGAGGGAUGACGGCCUUCGGGUUGUAAACCUCUUUCAGCAGGGAAGAAGCGAAAGUGACGGUACCUGCAGAAGAAGCGCCGGCUAACUACGUGCCAGCAGCCGCGGUAAUACGUAGGGCGCGAGCGUUGUCCGGAAUUAUUGGGCGUAAAGAGCUCGUAGGCGGUCUGUCGCGUCGGAUGUGAAAGCCCGGGGCUUAACCCCGGGUCUGCAUUCGAUACGGGCAGACUAGAGUGUGGUAGGGGAGAUCGGAAUUCCUGGUGUAGCGGUGAAAUGCGCAGAUAUCAGGAGGAACACCGGUGGCGAAGGCGGAUCUCUGGGCCAUUACUGACGCUGAGGAGCGAAAGCGUGGGGAGCGAACAGGAUUAGAUACCCUGGUAGUCCACGCCGUAAACGGUGGGAACUAGGUGUUGGCGACAUUCCACGUCGUCGGUGCCGCAGCUAACGCAUUAAGUUCCCCGCCUGGGGAGUACGGCCGC